rnacentral:rRNA from 1 species
UAACACAUGCAAGUCGAACGCCCUAGCAAUAGGGAGUGGCAGACGGGUGAGUAACGCGUGGGAACCUUCCCGGUGGUACGGAAUAGCCCAGGGAAACUUGGAGUAAUACCGUAUAUUACCCUUCGGGGGAAAGAUUUAUCGCCAUUGGAUGGGCCCGCGUCGGAUUAGCUAGUUGGUGAGGUAAUGGCUCACCAAGGCGACGAUCCGUAGCUGGUCUGAGAGGAUGAUCAGCCACACUGGGACUGAGACACGGCCCAGACUCCUACGGGAGGCAGCAGUGGGGAAUAUUGGACAAUGGGCGAAAGCCUGAUCCAGCAAUGCCGCGUGAGUGAUGAAGGCCUUAGGGUUGUAAAGCUCUUUUACACCGGGAAGAUAAUGACUGUAC